rnacentral:snoRNA from 1 species
UGCGAAGACGCAUGUCGCGUAGCCGCCGGCUGUGCGCGCCUGACGAACUACUGUAUUUCACGGGUGAACAAUCUCUGAUGC